GGGCCCCUAGAUUAGAUGAUCCAGUGUCAUGUACUACAGUACUAGUACCAAUUUAAAGGGCAUUUCAGUAAUUUAAUUUUUGAUAGCUGCUUAUGUCAACAUGCAUGUCUUCCCGGUUGAAGUUGCUGCCCUGUUGGAGACCCAAGUCCAACGAAAUUCCCUGCGCUCCAAAUACUUUGAAUUCCCUCUCUUUCUCCCAAAGCUUUAUUUUUAACUUUUAAUUUUCCGAGUGUUUUCCAGAUUUGGCUGUCGGAGAAGCCCAAUGGCCACCACCCAGUGAACUGGGAACCUGACGAUGAGUGGGAACUCAUCAACGAUGACGGUUUCGUCUACAAACGCAGGAAACGUCCCCGUGUCGACCUUCCUUCCUCCAGUUCGGCACCGGGGCUACCGGAUCCGGCCGUUGAAGAGCAGAACCGCCGGCAAAGGAAGAAAAGAGCACUCCUCAAGCUCAAACACAAGUACCAACAAGAGAUCGAACAGUGGGUACAUUUGUCGAACACCUUGAAGGACAUGCAGCAAAAAUCUCGACAACCCAAUGACGCUGCCUACGUCGUCUGACCAAGUCACAACGACUUCCCAGUCCCUCCUGAACAAUCGUCGACUCGCGCUUGCCGGCAUCUUGCCGAUGAACUUCUCUUGCAGGGGAAGCCCAAAAAUCUAUAAUUGAAGAUGUAGCAAGGCUAUGCGAUGUGGCCGAAGCCUUGUGUAGCGCAAGAGAGGAGAAUUUUACGAAAAUCCUUCACUGAGCUGCCGGUAUGGGCGUCGAAGCCGCAUGAGCUGAUGACGUCACUCUACGAAGAUUGAUUUAGUUCAGGAGUAAAAUGCCUUUUUAAAGUUCCUUCUUCUACUCCGUUAGGACCGUUACAGACUUCUCUGCGAUCCAGGAAGGCCGAAAGGAGGGAGAUCCCAAGAAACCUUGGGUUGGGCACUUGUCUAUGGCUGCCCUUUUGGAUGGAAGAAAUACGACCAAAAACGCCGCGCCAUGGGCCUUCUCACUCCAUAAAUUAUGUGAAAUUUUAAAGACAUUCGAGAUGUAAUUCAUGUAUAAUAUCUGGUUUGAUUGCUAUCCUUUCUGGUUAUAUUUCAACAGAUUUUACAAA